rnacentral:rRNA from 1 species
AUUGAACGCUGGCGGCAGGCCUAACACAUGCAAGUCGAGCGGAUGAAGGGAGCUUGCUCCUGGAUUCAGCGGCGGACGGGUGAGUAAUGCCUAGGAAUCUGCCUGGUAGUGGUGGAUAACGUCCGGAAACGGGCGCUAAUACCGCAGACGUCCUGAGGGAGAAAGUGGGGGAGCUUUGGACCUCACGCUAUCAGAUGAGCCUAGGUCCGAUUAGCUAGUUGGUGGGGUAAAGGCCUACCAAGGCGACGAUCCGUAACUGGUCUGAGAGGAUGAUCAGUCCCCCUGGAAGUGAGACACGGUCCAGACUCCUACGGGAGGACGCAGUGGGGAAUGUUGGGCAGUAGGCGAAAGCAUGAUCCAGCCAUGGCGCGUGUGUGGAGAAGGUCUUGGGAUUGUAAAGCACUUUAAGUUGGGGGGAAGGGCAGUAAGUUAAUACCUUGCUGUUUUGACGUUACCAACAGAAUAAGCACCGGCUAACUUCGUG